rnacentral:rRNA from 1 species
CAGUAGCGCGGUAAUACAGAGGGUGCGAGCGUUAAUCGGAUUUACUGGGCGUAAAGCGUGCGUAGGCGGCUUCUUAAGUCGGAUGUGAAAUCCCUGAGCUUAACUUAGGAAUUGCAUUCGAUACUGGGAAGCUAGAGUAUGGGAGAGGAUGGUAGAAUUCCAGGUGUAGCGGUGAAAUGCGUAGAGAUCUGGAGGAAUACCGAUGGCGAAGGCAGCCAUCUGGCCUAAUACUGACGCUGAGGUACGAAAGCAUGGGGAGCAAACAGGAUUAGAUACCCCUGUAGUCCCUGUCUCUUAUACA